rnacentral:rRNA from 1 species
AUUGAACGCUGGCGGCAGGCCUAACACAUGCAAGUCGAACGAGUGGCGGACGGGUGAGUAAUGUCUGGGAAACUGCCUGAUGGAGGGGGAUAACUACUGGAAACUGUAGCUAAUACCGCAUACCAUCGGAUGUGCCCAGAUUGGAUUAGCUAGUAGGUGGGGUAAAGGCUCACCUACGCGACGAUCCCUAGCUGGUAUGAGAGGAUGACCAGCCACCCGGGAACUGAGACACGGUCCAGACUCCUACGGGAGGCAGCAGUGGGGAAUAUUGCACAAUGGGCGCAAGCCUGAUGCAGCCAUGCCGCGUGUAUGAAGAAGGCCUUCGGGUUGUAAAGUACUUUCAGCGGGGAGGCGUUACCCGCAGAAGAAGAACCGGCUAACUCCGUGCCAGCCGCCGCGGUAAUUC